CUGAGCGUUGUGUCUGUUGUCUGCAGCUUGUAGUUACAUUCCAAUGGCCUUGUUUAUUAUAGACCAGACAUACACUCCAGAGGGGUUCUUGAUUCCGUAUCCUGUGUCUGCACGCUUGUGUGUGAGGUCUUAACACAUGCUCCGCUGUGUGUGUGUGUGUGUGUGUGUUAGAAACGGGAGCGAGGCUGAGGUCACAGCACAAGCUCAGUGGAAACAUUCUCGGAGACUCGAACCAAGCGCUCUGCUUGGUCCUCCAUUUUGAGCACCUAGCAAUAGGUGGAAAGGAACAGUGAGUUGAUUUCACAAACGACCACUACUACAGUUCUAGACAAAACUGUCAACGUCCCGACCCUUAGAGAUCGGUGUCAGACAUGGACGACUUGUUCGCCCCGCGGAGGAGAUAUAAGAACAGAAGCAAGGCUUGUGCGGACUCCAUUUUGCAGUACCCUACUCUCUCUCUCUCUCUCUCUCUCUCUCUCUGUAUGCUCGUAUUUACAAUCGAGCCGACAUGGCAGCCCUGAGAUCUUUGUGCACUCUCUCGCUGGCUGAAAAAUACAAUCAUGUCAAAGAAAGAGCGCUGUAGGUACUAAAGGAGACUGUGGGUUGAUUAGAAAAGUUGACCAUUUUUGUAAUAUUAUGACAGCGUUUCCAGUCGUGCGAGGAUUGGACGGGAUUGAUGGAAAGGGGCGGGGUUUGUCUUGAUUACUGUUGUGCAGUGUAACGUUACGCCAUGCUGGAUCAGACUGGUCUUGUUGUGGUUCAGAAAGCAUACAGGAAUACAAAGUGACCUGCUUGGUCUUUAUUUUUGUCACUUUCUAUUUUAGACUACGUGAAAUAUGUUGAUCGUAAUUCCUGUUGUUACAGGACUUGGCUUUAGAAGUUUUUUGUUUUUAUUUAGCCGUUAUUUAACUAGGCAUAGAAGUUCUUACAAUAUAAAAUAUACACAGAUUUGAAACAAUGUUUCAAUGCUGUUGGAGAGCUACAUUUAAUAUUUAUGCAUAUUCAGGGUUAGGUAUAAUAUGAUACCAUUUAAAAUAUCAGAUUACUUUCCUAGAAUAUUACUUACUCAUGACAUGCAUAAGGAAAUGUACCCCAAUCCCUUACAUAUUUUUAAUAAAUGGAUUGAUAAAUAAAUGGGAUCAUUUAAAGUGUA